rnacentral:misc_RNA from 1 species
UCUCCGUUGGUGAACCAGCGGAGGGAUCAUUACAGGACUCGCAAGACUCCUACAACCCUGUGAACUUAACUAUAAGCACGUUGCUUCGGUGGGUGUCUCGGAGAGGGUUCUCCCUCCCCGGGGCGCUAAGCCCGCCGGCAGCCUACUAUACUCUGUCUCUUUGCGUUGGCAUCUCGAGUACAAACAAACAAGUUAAAACUUUCAACAACGGAUCUCUUGGUUCUG